rnacentral:rRNA from 1 species
AUGCUGCGCGUGCAUCCAGCAAAGUCUCUACCCGAUCGGGCAGGGAGGGUGAAGACGGGCGGCUUCAACGGCAACAAAUCCGAGGUACGGCCAUGUGGUGAUUCUCUGGCCUUGAUCCCGUCCGGGAUAGCUGCCCCGAUUGUGGGUGCUAGUAUUAAGGCUCGGGAUUACAGCAAAAUUUACUCUUUGAGAGAUUUGGAUGAGGAAGAUAGAAAUCAGGGGAGGAGCGUUUCUUGUACAUCAAAGGAAAAUAGAGAAAUUAGUGGGAUUUUAUUAUGGAAACUGCACAUUUAUGAUCCUUUAAUUUCCGUUAAGUGCAUAACUCUCGUCCUGGUUGUGGCGAUUUUGGGAGAGGGGAAAUACUAUAUCUUCAUCAGAGGAAUGAGUCUCGGGUCACCAGCUCAUCUGUCACAGCUAGAAUUCCUGACUUCCCUCUUAGUGUUCUUCCCUGCUCGGGUUGUGAUAGUGAGAGAGAGGGAGAUGGAGAAGAGAGGGGAGGCGGAGAAGGAAGUGGGUCAGGGUUCAGGUUCUGUACCAGCGACCAUGGGGAGGGGUUCUUCUGCUUGGGCUCCUUCGCCUGAGGGUGAGGGGAUGAAGGUGUCAAGGCGGCCUCGCGGGGAUGGCUCCCCGCUGAUCAUCGACAUGGAGGCCGCGAGGAGGGCUAUUAGUGGCUACCUGGUGGUAGGGCGAUUUCUAUCGCCCUUCCAAGUACAUACGCAUCCUCGUCGGUGA